GUAGGCUAGCAAUUGGUGCGCGGCACUGGAGAAGCAUCUGUUCCAUCUACAGGCUCGUUUGGAGGAAAAUAACUAGGAGCGGGAGGGCCAAAUCCCUUCGACCGCAAUGUAGUGCUCGAGCAGGCAUUGCUUGGAUGAUAGGUCCAUAUAGACUGCCUGCUGGCCAGGCCUGGUACAGGCUGGCUGAAAGCGGGAGGGCCAAGUCCCUUUAACCGCUGUAUGGAGAUUUUGUCAAGGUCAGCUGGCUGAAAGUCACUUCUAUGCUACUUUCAAUCUCAUUCAGGAGCUCGUUUUCAACUCGCUCAAGAUUUUUUGAGAGUUGGUCAUCAUUAAGGGUGAAUCUUGAGUGGAGGCAGGACAAGUCGCUGGAUUUGGAUUGGCUGGCCCUUCAAUCGCUCUUCUAUGUACGCGCGAUUUCGUGUGCCUCUUUUAAAAUCUCGAAACAGGCCGUUGAUCACGUGUCCUUCCAUGCGCACAACAGGUGGCAAUCGAAUCUGAUGAGAGAUGGGGCGCCAUCAAAAUGGGCCGUCGCCUCCCGCAUUGCAUGCCGAUCUAGAUGAGUAGUUGGAGAUUGCUGCUGCUGUGUGUCAACGGAAGAUGAAGUCCGUAGCUGGGAGGCCUGU